AGGAUAAUAGUUAACAAUAACAUUUAAUUUGCAGUUAAAAAUAGCCAUAAAAUGGCUUAUCUUA
rnacentral:tRNA from 1 species